rnacentral:rRNA from 1 species
GAUGAACGCUGGCGGCGUGCCUAAUACAUGCAAGUCGAGCGAACGGACGAGAAGCUUGCUUCUCUGAUGUUAGCGGCGGACGGGUGAGUAACACGUGGAUAACCUACCUAUAAGACUGGGAUAACUUCGGGAAACCGGAGCUAAUACCGGAUAAUAUUUUGAACCGCAUGGUUCAAAAGUGAAAGACGGUCUUGCUGUCACUUAUAGAUGGAUCCGCGCUGCAUUAGCUAGUUGGUAAGGUAACGGCUUACCAAGGCAACGAUGCAUAGCCGACCUGAGAGGGUGAUCGGCCACACUGGAACUGAGACACGGUCCAGACUCCUACGGAAGGCAGCAGUAGGGAAUCUUCCGCAAUGAGCGAAAGCCUGACGGAGCAACGCCGCGUGAGUGAUGAAGGUCUUCGGAUCGUAAAACUCUGUUAUUAGGGAAGAACAUAUGUGUAAGUAACUGUGCACAUCUUGACGGUACCUAAUCAGAAAGCCACGGCUAACUACGUG